rnacentral:rRNA from 14 species
AUUUUGAGUUUGAACCUUGCUCAGAAUUAACGUUUGCAAUGCACAUAACACAUGCAAAUUGAAUGUUAACACAUAGUGAAUUGGUGAGUAAUUUUAAAAAAACUUACUUUUUGAAUCAGAAUUAAAUACUGAAUUAUAGAGUUAUCUCUUCAAAAAAAGGGUUUUAAAAAGAUUAGGUUGUUGGUAAGGUAAAAGCUUACCAAACCGUUGAUCUUUAACCGUUUCGAAAGAAUGAUCGGUCACACUAGAACUGAAAAAAGUCUAGUCUUUUUUUUAGGCAGCAGUGAGGAAUUUUAGGCAAUGAGCUUAACGCUUGACCUAGUGACAUUGUGUUGCUGAUGAAGGCAGCUCGCUGUAAAAGCAAUUAUUUGGGAAGAGAUUGACUGAACCAAAAAAAAAUCUCAACAAACUUCGUGCCAGCAGUUGCGGUUAAACGGAGGAGGUUAACGUUAUUUAGAAUGAUUUGGCGUAAAGGGUUCGUAGUUUGUUUUUACGUUUUAGUGUUACAAAAGUGAAACUUUUUUCAAAAGGCACUAAAAAUUGAAAAACUCGAGUUAGAUCAGAGGUUAACAGAAUUUUUAAAUUAGAGGUGAAAUUCGAUGAUUUUAAAAAGAAUGCCAAAAGCGAAAGCAGUUAACUUGAUCUUUUUACUGACGAUGAGGAACGAAAGCAUAAGUAUCAAAUGGGAUUAGGUACCCCAGUAGUUUAUGCCGUAAAUUAUGAGUGUUUGAAAAGUUUAUUAAAAAUUGGCUUUCGAAGUUAACAUGAAAAACAUUCCGCCUGAAGAGUAUUGUUGCAAAGCUGAAAUUCAAAGGUAUUGGCGGGAGCCAACACAUGUGGUGGAGUAUGUUGUUUAAUGCGAGAAUACGCGACAAAUCUUACCAAUUCUAGAAAAAAAUUAAAUCUUUCUCAAAAUAGAUUUUUGUUUAACAAAAAUAUUUUUUUACAGGUGUUGCAUGGCUGUCGUCAGUUCGUGCUGUGAAGUGUUAGAUUUAUUUCUAAAACGAACGAAACCCUUGUCUUAUUUAGUUAAGUUUUGUUAUUUCAUUACGAGUACUUUUAAGAGAAAUUUAGUAAUAAGCUAAUUGAAAAAGGAUUACGUCAAGUCUUUAUGACCCUAAUGAAUUGGGCUACAAACGUACUACAUUAAAAAUUACAAAAAGAUGCAAUGAUUCAAUUCGGAGCAAAUCUAAAAAAAUUUUUUUUUUCGAAUUGAGUGCUGAAAUUCGCACUCAUGAAGCUGGAAUCACAAGUAAUCAUGGAUCAGCAUGUCAUGGUGAAAUUGUACUUUGGUUUUGUACACACCGCCCGUCACAGCUUGAAAAAAAAGGUUUUUCAAAAAAUAGUGCUGAACAGAAAGUUUUGGUCUUUUUGACAAUGCUUUUUUAGAAAAUUGUUUUUGAUUGAGCUGAAGUCGUAACAAGGUAGCUUUACGGGAACGUGAUGCUGGAUA